rnacentral:rRNA from 1 species
AAUGAACGCUGGCGGCGUGCCUAACACAUGCAAGUCGGAUGUGCCGCAAGGUGCAUGGCAGACGGGUGAGUAACGCGUAGGGAAUCUACCUUUUUGUGGCGAAUAACGCUCCGAAAGGAGUGGUAAUACCGCAUGAGACCGUGAGCUGGGAUGUUCACGGUGAAACCUGGGGACCGCAAGGCCUGGGGCAAAAAGAGGAUCCUGCGUCUGAUUAGCUAGUUGGCGGGGUAAUGGCCCACCAAGGCGACGAUCAGUAGCCGGCCUGAGAGGGUGAUCGGCCACACUGGAACUGAGACACGGUCCAGACUCCUACGGGAGGCAGCAGUGGGGAAUUUUGCGCAAUGGACGAAAGUCUGACGCAGCAACGCCGCGUGGGUGAUGAAGGUCUUCGGACUGUAAAACCCUGUCGUCAGGGACGAAGGUGGCAGUGUUAAUAGCGCUGUUACUUGACGGUACCUGGAGAGGAAGCCCCGGCUAACUCUGUG